CUGGGAUCAGUCAUCGCUGGGGUUGUCUGUAUCCUUGUCCUCAUAGCACUGAAAUAUAUCAGCGAGAAGCUGAAGCACGAAAUGAAAUUUCCUAUACCAGCUCAGUUAAUAGUGGACGCUAUCGACAUUGCUGAUCCUAGCAGUAUGCAGCACGCGUGUCAUAUGAACUUCAUAAUGGACCUCGCUCACCGUAGAGUCUCUAGCCUAGCAGUAUGUAUGGCAUAUGAACUUCAUAAUGGACCUCGAUCACUUUAGUCUCUAUCCUAGCAGUAUGAAUGUCAUAUGAAAUUCGUAAUGGACCUCGCUCACCGUAGUGUCUCUAUCCUAGCAGUAUGAAUGUCAUAUGAACCUCGUGAUGGAAAUCGCUCACCGUAGAGUCUAUAUCCUAGCAGUAUAUGUGUCAUAUGAACUUCGUAAUGGACCUCGCUCACCGUAGCGUCUCCAUAGCCAGAAAUCCGAGACAUCGAUCAUACUUCACCUCUCUAGGCCUUUAAACAUGGCGGGGAAACAAUUACAAAGAAAUAUAUGGGAUAAAAAAUAAAUAUCAGGAUCUCCAUAAGCGAGACUUUCUCUGGUCUGUUAUUCAAAAGUACUUACAAAUGUUUACCUUAAGAUUGAAUGUCAUCUUGUCCAAAUUUUAUGGGCAAUAGGCUUUGGUGGAACGUAAACAGCCAAAUUGUUUUUGUGUUAACACACAAGGCCAUUAGUGAAGCAGUUUUGCGGCGGUUAAAAAGUAAGCGAAGCCAAAGCGGUUACUCUAGUCAGUAGGAAUAGUUUUAAACAAGAAAAUGAGCCAAUCAUGUAGAUGUGGACGAGCGAGUUGGCCACAUGAUGUCUAAAUUUACUUCUUCUCAUUACAUUGGCGAUACAGGGAACCAGUCUAACCCACGUAAACGCAAAUAUUUUAUCAUCAAUUGAAAACUAACUAUUUUCUAGCAACUGAGUGCAAAACAAGCACACUAAGCAUAAUUUGAUGGAGUAAACUUAUACAAUUAAACUUUGCCUAGUUGAAAAUUUAUUCAUAGUUUUUACCAAGCAGUGUUACAAUCACUACAUUGCAAUCGACCGGCGGUGACCUGCCGCCUUAAUUCUUGUGUUGAGUCUUCCGGUGGAAAAAGUUAAAGGUCUAGCCAUGAAAAAGUAGUGCCGGAAUAUUAAUGUCGUGCCGGAAAAUGAAAGUCGUCUUAGAAAAUUAAAGUCAUGCGGGAAUGUUGAAGUCGUACCGGUGUCACAGCGGAUUUCGACCCCGCCGGUCCAAAUCCGCCAGCGGAUAUGGACCCCCCCUUCGCAGAUUUGAACCCCCUACAAAAAUUUCCUUCUAAGCAUCGUUUGUGUCAUAUUUGGCAACUAAUUCUAUUUGCAAGCUUUUCAUCGAUGUUCUUUUCAAUCAUAACACAACAUUCCUCAAUAAAAGUAAAGAAAAACAGCUAUUUCGUUCCAAUUCUGCCGCAUUUAUUAAAGCGAGUCGUACGGUAUACGCAAUAAUUAGAUGCGAACAAACUACUGCAUUCGAACUAUUGAAUUUGUUAAAAUAAAUCUUUGCUUCUUCUGAUGCGAAUCAACAAAACGUCAUAACAAUAGUGGAGACUAUUGCGUUCAGUCUAAAAUAAUAACUCAGUCUGAUUUUCUAAUGAAAUAACAUUAAACAGUUUCUGAACAAGAACGAAGUAACUUCUCGUGCUACAAGUCGUUCGUAAAGCCUACGAUA
rnacentral:lncRNA from 1 species